AACUUUUCAGCAUGAGACUAGUGUGGGCAGGGCAGUUCCAGCCUGUGUCUGUGUUGCUGUGUUGUUUGUGUAGUCUGUCUUCUGUGUCUUAUACCAUACCUUUAUCGGGUCUUAAUAUCUUUGUAGCUCUUUGAUCGGCAGGGACCUCGGUAGUCUUCCCGAGAGUCCCGAGCGCAUCGCCUCAUCGGCAUCGCACCCAUCGAGCCUUCUUGUCUCGCGCUUAUAGCUUAAAGCGUGGAUCGGUCUGGCAUGCGUCGCGCCGUAGAUGUUUUUGAGCGGUCAUCUCUCGAGGUGGCGAGCUAGGUGGCGCUUGCGGCUCCGCUCUUGAGACUUCUGUUUGUACAGAGUUGUCUUCUGGGGUUUCAUUCCCAUGUUCUUAACGGUCUUAGGUCUUAAAGCCUGGCUUCUUACGCAUCCAUCAUUCUGGUUUUGACGGUAGCUUUCUCUCGCAGGCCGCAGCGGUCGCCUCUCUUUCUCGAGGCCGCUAUAAAGCAUCUGCGCCAUCGUGGCACCGUAGGGCUUCUCUGUCGGCCACAUCUUCCCUACGGUAGUCGGUCGUCUCGCUCGCGGUCGUCUCGUGUCUCACGGUCACGUUAUUUGUGGCGUCUGUGUGCGGUGUCGGUCUGCGUCGGGGUCGGAGCUGCCCUGCCCAGGGGUGUAGCAAUGCGGUGUAGCAAGGCACGGUGUUGUGAUAAUAUGUUGAUCUGCUCAAAUUGUUUUGACAAAGACCGUACGGUUCAUCUCUGGGCAAGUAGCUGUAGACAGCUGCCACAGAGUUAUUUUCAUUGUGUUUUGCAGGUGCCGGAGGUCAGACUCUGGCCUUCUGGGAGCGGCAGUUUGUGCGGCGGUCGAGCGGGUUGAAUCUUGAAUGUGCCUUAGCUUGUAUAUGUGGGGCUCAAUAUCUGGGGUUUGGUUUUUCCUUUUUUUUUUUUUUUUCCCGGGUGUAGUUAGAAGGCACACGCAAAAAGAAGACGGACCUUUUGUCUCGCCAAGCUAUCGGUCAGCAUCCGGGUGACUCGCUUUACACGGUUUGUUCGGGUUUUUCCGACGCGGAGCGACGAGCCGCGUGCCGAAGGACGACGGAAGAGGCGAGCGGAGCGCCGGGUGAAGGCGGGCCGGCGUCCGAUGUCGGAGGAUCGGCACAACUGUCGGCGGUUCUGACUGGCUUAUGCUUUUUCAGUUUAUGCUUUUCUAGAUGCAAAUCGAUGUAUGAAGCGGGAUAUCCGCACCGGAGCGGACUUUGGCAAGAUUUACAGAGGGCGGGCCGGGCUCGGCACAGAGGACCGAAGAAUCUGACUCUGAGCGGCCGAGGGGCCGUGCUCCUUUGCAGAGGGGCGAAGCUGCACAGCCGCAAGCGGUUGGAGAAAAGGCGAGAGACUCGUUAAGCGGUCCGCUCCGGCUCAAAUUUCCGAGGAGCUCACGGUAACUCGGCCGAGCGUUUGUCUUUGGUUUUGCCGGUGCUGUGAAGGCUUUCCUCAAACGGCUGAGGAUUUGAGGCGAGUCGGCGGAGGAGAGAGGAGCGGCAGGGCGGGAACCGCAGAGCGGGUUAUCGCUUCCGAUUACGACGGGCGCUUUAUCUCUCCGGUUUUCCGGCUUCCACGGGAGA